CCUGAGAAACCCAAAAGAUCGAAUGGGGAGAUUCAUCGCAAGCGUGGCCGGCUUCCGUGCGGUUCGCGAUGGCCGGGACCUCGGUCUCGCGUCACGCGUCCGCUGCGGUAUGCCCGGUUACGUCGGCGUGCACUUCUCCCCUAGUAGGACGUCGCGACCCGUUGGGUGUCGGACCGAUGGCCGUUUGGUCGCCUGUCUCGUCGCGUUCACGCGUGCACGUGGCAGACCGAAAUGGUCGAGCGUCCGGCUGCCCGGCGGUAUAGAACGCUUAAGAUUGGUAAUGAGCCGCAUUAAGUGCGUUCAGGCUCGUCGGCAGGCUCGUCUCGCCCGGAUUUACGGACCUAGCGCCGUUGCCGGGUGCUUGGCGCGGCCGUUAGUCGACGAUGUCCUCGGACUGGCUCUGAAAUUCGAAAGGAUUACCGGUCGGCGACGCUACUGCUUUGGGUACUUUC
rnacentral:rRNA from 1 species